rnacentral:tRNA from 1 species
AUCUUCCUAGUAUUGGAUUAAUAUAAAUGGCUCCCAAUCAUUUAGUCUUGGUUAAGCUCCAAGAAAAGAUG